rnacentral:rRNA from 1 species
GAUGAACGCUAGCGGCAGGCCUAAUACAUGCAAGUAGAACGGCGUCUUCGGACAUAGUGGCGCACGGGUGCGUAACACGUAUGCAACCUACCUUACAUUGGGGGAUAGCCUUUCGAAAGGGAGAUUAAUACCGCAUAAGACAGUAGCUGGGCAUCCAGCAGCUGUUAAAGAUUUAUCGAUGUAAGCUGGGCAUGCGUCCAAUUAGCUAGUUGGUGAGGUAACGGCUCACCAAGGCAAUGAUUGGUAGGGGAACUGAGAGGUCAAUCCCCCACACUGGCGCUGAGAUAAGGGCCAGACUCCUACGGGAGGCAGCAGUAGGGAAUAUUGGGCAAUGGACGCAAGUCUGACCCAGCCAUGCCGCGUGCAGGAUGAAGGCGUUAUGCGUUGUAGACUGCUUUUAUACAGGAAGAAACGACUCUUGCGAGAGGCAUUGACGGUACUGUAUGAAUAAGCACCGGCUAACUCCGUGCCAGCCGCCGCCGUAAAAC